UGGUCACUUGAUGUUUGACAAAGAAG
rnacentral:piRNA from 1 species